rnacentral:rRNA from 1 species
CAAGUCGAGUGCGCGUCCGUAGCAAUACGGAUGGCGCACGGCGCACGGGUGCGUAACACGUGGGCAAUCUGCCCUCGGAUGGGGGAUAACUCGCCGAAAGGCGAGCUAAUACCGCAUGACAUUCCCAGGACUCCGGUCCAGGGACUCAAAGGUCGCAAGACCGUCUGAGGAGGAGCCCGCGCCCGAUUAGCUAGUUGGUGAGGUAACGGCUCACCAAGGCUUUGAUCGGUAGCCGGUCUGAGAGGAUGGCCGGCCACACUGGAACUGAGACACGGUCCAGACUCCUACGGGAGGCAGCAGUGGGGAAUAUUGCGCAAUGGGCGAAAGCCUGACGCAGCGACGCCGCGUGGGGGAUGAAGCUUUUCGGAGUGUAAACCCCUUUCGACCCGGACGAAUGACCCGCAAGGGUUUGACGGUACGGGUAUAAGAAGCCCCGGCUAACUACGUGCCAGCAGCCGCGGUAAUACGUAGGGGGCCAGCGUUGCUCGGAAUUACUGGGCGUAAAGGGUUCGUAGGUGGUGCGGCAAGUUGGAAGUGAAAUCUCUGGGCUUAACCCAGAGGCUGCUUUCAAAACUGCUGCGCUCGAGUGCGAGAGAGGUCAGUGGAAUUGCAGGUGUAGCGGUGAAAUGCGUAGAUAUCUGCAGGAACACCCGUGGCGAAGGCGGCUGACUGGAUCGCAACUGACACUGAGGAACGAAAGCUAGGGGAGCAAACAGGAUUAGAUACCCUGGUAGUCCUAGCCCUAAACCAUCGGAACUUGGGGUGGCCCGCGUAAGGCGGGUCGUCCCGUAGCUAACGCGUUAAGUUCCGCGCCUGGGGAGUACGGUCGCAAGACUGAAACUCAAAGGAAUUGAACGGGGGGCCC